CCUACGGGCGGCAGCAGUGAGGAAUAUUGGUCAAUGGACGAGAGUCUGAACCAGCCAAGUAGCGUGAAGGAUGACUGCCCUAUGGGUUGUAAACUUCUUUUAUAUGGGAAUAAAAUGUGCUACGUGUGGGAUUUGGUAUGUAUCAUAUGAAUAAGGAUCGGGUAAUACUGUGCCAGCAGCCGCGGUAAUACGGAGGGUCUGAGCGUUAUCCGGAUUUAUUGGGUUUAAAGGGAGCGUAGGUGGAUUGGUAAGUCAGUCGUGAAAGUUUGCGGCUCAACCGUAGAAUUGCAGUUGAAACUGGCAGUCUUGAGUACAGUAGAGGUAGGCGGAAUUCGUGGUGUAGCGGUGAAAUGCUUAGAUAUCACGAAGAACUCCGGUUGCGAAGGCAGCUCACUGGACUGCAACUGACGCUGAGGCUCGAAAGUGUGGGUAUCAAACAGGAUUAGAUACCCCAGUAGUC
rnacentral:rRNA from 1 species